CCUACGGGUGUCAGCAGUGAGGAAUAUUGGUCAAUGGGCGUAAGCCUGAACCAGCCAAGUCGCGUGAAGGAUGAAGGUUCUAUGGAUCGUAAACCUCUUUUAUAAGGGAAUCAAGUGCGGGACGUGUCCCGUUUUGUAUGUACCUUAUGAAUAAGGAUCGGCUAACUCCGUGCCAGCAGCCGCGGUAAUACGGAGGCUCCGAGCGUUAUCCGGAUUUAUUGGGUUUAAAGGGUGCGUAGGCGGCCUUUUAAGUCAGCUGUGAAAGUCUGUGGCUCAACCAUAGAAUUGCCGUUGAAACUGGGAGGCUUGAGUAUGGUUGAGGCAGGCGGAAUGCGUGGUGUAGCGGUGAAAUGCUUAGAUAUCACGCAGAACCCCGAUUGCGAAGGCAGCUGUCCAGGCCAUGACUGACGCUGAGGCUCGAAAGUGUGGGGAUCAAACAGGAUUAGAUACCCGGGUAGUC
rnacentral:rRNA from 1 species